CUCCAUCUCUAUUAAAAAUACAAAAUUAGCCAGGUGUGGUAGCACAUGUCUGUAAUCCCAGCUACUCGGGAAGCUGAGGCAGGAGAAUCGCUUGAACCCGGGAGGCAGAGGUGGCAGUGAGCCAAAUUCAUGCCAUUGCACUCCAGCCUGGGCAACAAGAGCGAAAGUCCAUCUCAAAAAAAAAAAAAAAGAAGAAAAAGAAAAGAAAGAAAAGAAAACAAACACGCGCUAACCUGCAAUAAACUAGUCUGGUCAGCCAGGGUAGGGAGAAGUGCCCUUUGGCCAGCAGCCAGCCCCAUGCCAUGGUCACUGGACAAUCUUAGACCAAAGCCACAGACCAGAAGUUCAGGAUGUUUUUGGAUCUGAC
rnacentral:lncRNA from 10 species